rnacentral:rRNA from 1 species
GUUGACCUCGGAUCAGGUAGGGAUACCCGCUGAACUUAAGCAUAUCAAUAAGCGGAGGAAAAGAAACCAACAGGGAUUGCUCUAGUAACGGCGAGUGAAGCAGCAAUAGCUCAAAUUUGAAAUCUGGCGUCUUCGGCGUCCGAGUUGUAAUUUGUAGAGGAUGCUUCUGGGCAGCCACCGACCUAAGUUCCUUGGAACAGGACGUCAUAGAGGGUGAGAAUCCCGUAUGCGGUC